GAUGAAGAACGCAGCGAAAUGCGAUAAGUAAUGUGAAUUGCAGAAUUCAGUGAAUCAUCGAAUCUUUGAACGCACAUUGCGCCCGCCAGUAUUCUGGCGGGCAUGCCUGUUCGAGCGUCAUUACAACCCUCAGGCCCCCGGGCCUGGCGUUGGGGAUCGGCGGAAGCCCCCUGCGGGCACAACGCCGUCCCCCAAAUACAGUGGCGGUCCCGCCGCAGCUUCCAUUGCGUAGUAGCUAACACCUCGCAACUGGAGAGCGGCGCGGCCACGCCGUAAAACACCCAACUUCUGAAUGUUGACCUCGAAUCAGGUAGGAAUACCCGCUGAACUUAAGCAUAUCAAAAGCGGAGGA
rnacentral:misc_RNA from 1 species